GAUGAGUGAACUUGUAUCAGUAUAAUAACCAGGGUGGCCUUGGUCAUCCUCUUGAUCCAUAGAUUGCCCUUGGAAUGCCAGUGGCUUGGAUGGUUUUAUCACUCCAGUCUCUUCCUCGAGGUGCUUUCGCUUUGAGUUCCCUCCCUUGGGGCAUUUUUGCUUUGAGUUUUGCCCUUGGAAUGCCAGUCGCUUGGACGAUUUCAUCACUCCAAUCUCUUCCUCAAGAUGCUUUAGCUUUGAGUUCUCUCCCUUGGGCCCUUUCGCUUUGAGUUCUCGAUGGAAGAAUAAGUAUUAAAAACCCACUUGCUCUCUUCUUCACAGGUGCUUGGCAAGUCUCGAGAGACAAGAAAUGAUGGCCCCUCCAAUAUGAUGGCUGAAAGAGUGAGAAAUCUAAGAACUAAACUGGUCCAACAAAGUUAAGCCUGAAGACAUCAGUCCAAGCGAUAUUAGUUAAUGCUACAAUCUGGAAAAUAAAGAAGCAAAAGAAUACCUAAACAGUUUAGCCAUAAAUAUAUGAUCUUUAUUGAAGAUUGGGAUAAUUACAAUCUAUAUCUCUCUUUGAUAUGCUAAGAAGAGCAAAUUCCAUAAUCAUUAGACAUCUAAAAUAGGGAGUAACAAAGUGGAUGUAAUUGGUUAAGUAUUACAUUUAAAAGGCGAACAAGACCCUCUGUGAUAAAACCGCGCAACGCAUCAUGAAAUUCAUGAUUCGAGGAAAAAGUUUCCCAAACAGUCAGUUAAAACCUAAAUCUCAAUUUUGAAGACAUUGAUUGUUAGAGCAGUUCUACAUUUGCAAGGAAAUAGUUGAGUGUAAACCCAGCAACAAGGGCAUGAGCACACAUCUUGAUACAAGCCCCGAACAAGUGCUGACAAUACUAGCAUGUCUAGCUCAACGAUGACUAGCUCCAAGUGCCAAUCUAGAUCUCUUUGCCAUCGUCAAUAUCAUAUAUUUUUCCAAAUCAUCAAAAUAGAAAAAAAUUGGAAUUGAAUAGGUAGAAACAUGGUUAUUUAAAGUUGAGUAGAUAAAACAACAAACUCUAGAAUCAACUUUGGACGACAGUGAAUGCCAACCGAAAAGAUCCAGUUAUGAAUAAGAAUAUAUUCCUUGAGUUGGAAAAUGUUUUUGUAUUUCCAAAAAAGAAAGGAAAGAAAGAUUUAAAUUCCAUGAAAUAAAAUCCAAAUGUCGAAAUCAAUAGAAAGGAUCUUAUACAUUGAAAAGAGCCACUGAUGAAUAAGAAUAAUUUCCUGAGUUGGAAAAUGAUUUUGUACUUCUAGGGGAAAAAGAUUUUCAUUUAAAUUCCAUAACACUAAUCAAAAUUUGGAAAACAACAACAAGAAUCUUCUACAUUACUAAUAUAGACCAAUCACCAUAAACUCACAAAAGUUAGAAAUCCAUCCCUUCAAACUCAAUCUGGAAAAGGGUUGAACUCCCAAUAUUUAACAAAAUUUAAAUCAAAAAAAGGAUAAGGAUUCAAUAUUAAAUCAGAAACCAAAUUAAAACCUGCAUGCAUGUAUGGUAAAAGCCAAUUCAAUUCAACAUGCCCCUGUAAGAGAAAUUCAGACUAAAAUCAGACCACCGAAUGCCUAUCCCAAAAGCAAUUAUAGCAACACCCAAUUAAGGGGAUAACAAGCAAAUACUCAGAAAUAACAAUCACAAAUCUAAUAGUGAUAACUAGCAGUCAAGAGAACACCUUUGAAAAAUCCUACCAAUCAAAAAAAUUUUAAAAAAUAGUUAUACAUGCAAUAGGAAAAUAAAAAAAAUUAACAUUGACAUAAAUUUGAAAUAAAAGAUUGAUCAUUAUACAUGAAUUGCCCUCAAUGGUCAGAAUCCUUACAUGCAUUCCCUUCAAAAUAUAACCUAAAAUGAAAAAGGGAAAAGAAGUCAUUAGGAAUUAUCUCAUAACAAGAAAAACCUAAAAAACCAAACCAGAAAACUUACAGAGUAAUCCGAGCAUAGUCUUUGAUUGUAACUACCAAAAAGAACAAAUUUCUGCUAAUAAACAGAGAAAGAAAAAUGAAUCGAUAGCUAAAUUAUUUCAUCGGGGCCACUUUGGAAACUUCUUUUAUUUGCAUUUGGAGCCCUCUCAAAUCUAAACUAGAACAAAAAAACAGUUCUCUCUUAACUGUGAUGAGAACUGAGGAGUGAGAAGAAGGAAGAAGAAUUGGAUUUUUUAUUGGAUAAGUUGAAUAUUCGCUAGAAGUAGCAGUAUUUGUAGUAGUGAACCAACGGGAAGAGGGAGACGACGGCAACUUGGGAAAUGAGAUGGCUGUGAUAGUAAGGGGUUAAGAUUUAAUGGAUUUAAUGGCCGUCAUUUGCACGUGUGAGCAUUUAUCUUUUGAAAUGGUUGUUGCCUUUGGGACAUUUUUUCCUUACCAAACUCCAAAAGAGUUCCAUUCUCCGUACGGCUCUUCAUUUCGUAACAUUCGUUCUACACCCGAGCAACACACUAUAAUUUCUACUUUUCUCUUUAUUUUUGCUUUUGAGUGGAUUUGAUUUUCAUUAGAGUGAUCCUAAUAUGAUUUCUUUCCAAUCUGACUACGUUGGUACCAAAAUAUACACGUUUCCUAAUUUAGAAAUCUAUUUUCCUAUAUGAGAAUUAUGAUUAAGGCUUUUGAAGGAUUAUAAUGUAUUUGGCAUGUAUGGUCUUAUGGUUUUAAUUAUUUACAAAAAUUUCCCUAUGUGCUAUAUUCAUUUAAACUGGUUUAGGUUAUAUAAUAUGAACUCGAUUAUUUUAUAUAAUUAGGUUAUGGAAUACAAAGUGUUGAUUAGAUAUCUAUGUACUAGUUCUGUCAAAAAUAUAUAGGCUAAAAUAGCGUAUAUAAUAUUUGUCAUUUGCAAAGAUUUAGGUUAAGAAAUACAAAUUGAAUCAUUUACAAAUUAGGUCAUGGAAUACAAAGCAUAAAAAAAAAUUCAUGCUCGAGCUCUAUUUGUGUAUAACAAUUAAAAAUAAUAUGUACAGUGAUUUGUCAUAUUUGUUUCUUGCACUCGAAUUAUUGACCAAAAAAAUCAGUAAUUGAUGAUAGUUAUUGCAUCAUGAAAUAAAACACCAAAAUCGAACUUUAUAUAAUGAAUUACUUUUAUAAGAGAAUCUAAAAUUUUUUUGUAUAUUCUUCAUGUAAUAAUUAAUUGUUUCAUGAGUUAAUUGAAAAGAAACAAUAAUAAUAAUAAUAAUAAUCAUGAAUAUCAAUUAUUAUGUGCUUAGAGCUCAUAAAACUAUUUGUUCAAAAAGAAUUUUACUAAUUUAUGUACCUCUAUGUUUGCAGCAUUUCUCUUGCAUGAUAAUAACAAACUAUUUUUUCCAGAUUUUCCAUUUAACUGAUUUAUUUAUUUAAAAUGCCUAAUUUAGUUUUCAAUUUCCUCUUGAUGAGAUUUACCUUUCGGGUUUGGUAGGGCAAUGAUGCAAUAACAAAGGCUCUCGUGGUUUUAAUUCUAUACAACAGUUCUCAAUCUUGUAAUUGAUUUGCAAAAAUUAAAGUUGCAGAAUAUGAAUUGUAUUGCCUUUUAAAUUAGGGUUUUCUAGUAUCCAGUGCCAAAAACAAAACCAUGCUUGAAAUCUAUUUGAUUUAUAACUAUUACAAUAGCAUAUAUAAUAUUUGUCUUGGUUUAUCUUUUAUUUGUUUGUGAGUGAAUGUCUUGAAAAUAGUAAUUGACAAUCAAGAGUCCAACCAGAAAAUGUAAAACACCAAAAUCAAACAAAAUAUCUAAUGGUCUACCUUUAUACGAGCAUCUGAUAAUUUUUUUUUUCAGAUCACAUAACAAUUUUUUGGUUUAAUAGUUAAAGAAGAUAAUAACCGUAAUGAGAAUAUGUAUUUUGGGAGAAAAAAUCUAGUCACCAUAUUAUGACUGACCAACUAGUAUUUAUAGGAGUACAAACCUAACACUACUAAACCGACCAAAUCAAGUUCUAGGAGACUGUUUCAAUCCAUAUAAGGAUUUUUUCAGACGACAAACCAACCGCGAAUUCUUCCCCUGGACAACAAAUUUAGGAGGUUGUUCCAUAUAUACUUUUUCUUCCAAAUCUCCAUGUAGAAACGUAUUUUUCACAUUCAACUGAUAAAAUGACCAAUUAUAAGUUGCUGUCAAAGAGAUAAAAAGACGAAACAAAUGUAAUCUUUGCAACAGGAGAAAAUGUUUCUAAGUAGUCGAUUCCAUACACAUGAAUAAAUUCCUUAGCUACCAGAUGAGUCUUCAAUCUAUCAAUAGAACCAUUAGGCUGUACUUUUAUAGUGUACACAUAUUUACAACCAACAACUGGCUUACCAGAAAGAAGAGGAACAAGAUCUCAAAUAUUAAUUUUCUCCAAAGCAAACAUCUCUUCUUGCAUGGCUAAUCUCCAACCAGGAUGAUUGAGAGUAUGGGUAAUAGACUUAGGAAUGGAUACAGAAACAAAGGAAGCAACAAAAGAAGAAUAUGACAGAGAGAGACGAGAAUAAGAAACAAAAUUAGAAAUAGGAUGAGAAGUACAAUGUCUCUUACCUUUGGGUAAAACAAUAGGAAGAUCUGACUCACAGGAGGGCGUCAUACCUGAAUUUAAAGAUUGAGAGUUAAUUGGUGAAGUGCGUGGCAUAUCAGGAGCCUGCUCAAUUAUGGAACGACAAGAAUAAACUUAAAGAUUAGGACGAGAUAAUCGAGUUGUGGAAUCUAGUGGACUAAACAACUCAGAUAAUAAGAUGAAAGGACUGGUAAAACAGGAGAAGAAAAAGAGGAACACUGGUCUAACUCACAAGAUAUACCUUGAUUCAUAAAAUAAGGAAUGGAUUCAAAAAAAGUAGUAUCAACACAAGUAAAAAACGAUUUAAAACUUGACUGUUACAUCUAUACCCUUUUUGCGCUCGUGCGUAUCGUAAGAAAAUACACUUAAUAGUACGAGAAUCUAAUUUAUCCACCUCGAGAGCAAGCUGAUGAACAAAACACACACCAAAAAAUAUGAGGAGGUAAUUUAAAUAUAAGUUCAUGAGAAAAAAGAAUGGAGUGAGAUAAUUGGCCUCCAAAAAUAUUGGAUGUCAUGCAAUUAAUUAAAUAACAUGCAGUUAAAACUGCAUCACUCCAAAAUUGUUUGAGCAUAUUCAUAUGUAACAAAAGUGUUCGAGCAAUUUCAAUUAAAUGUCGAAUUUUUCUUUCAGCAACUCCAUUCUAUUGUGGAGUGUGGAGACAAGAAAACUGAUGAAGAAUACCGGACUUAGUCAUAAAUGUAUCAAAAGGAGUGAAAAAAUAUUCUUUUGCAUUAUUGCUGUGAAGUAUACGUAUAGGCACACCAAAAUAAUUCUUUAUUUCUAUAACAAAUGCACAAAAAAUGGAAUAUAGUUCUGAACAAUCUUUCAUUAAAUAAAGCCAUGUAACUCUGAACAAAUCAUCAACAAAGAUUACAAAAUAUUUAAAAUCUAACUUUGAAGUGACUCGACUAGGAUCUUAAACAAUAGAAUAAACUAACAAAAAGGGUUCAGAAACCCGUUUAUUGACUCUAGGGGUAAAAGAAAUACAAUGAUACUUUCCUAAUUGACAAGACUCACAUUCUAAUGAAAACAACUGAUUCAAGGUAGGAACCAACUUUUUCAAAUUUUGUAGAGACGAAUUAUUCAAACGACAGUGAAUUUCAAGAGGAGAAACAAUAGCAGGACACGCAAUCGGAUCGUUGGAGUCGAUAAAAUAAAGACCAUUAUACUCAUGCCCUCCACCAAUCGUUCUCUUUGUUUUCAAAUCCUGAAUGAAAAAAAAAUCAAGAGAAAAAGUAACUGAACACUGUAGAAAUUUAGUAACCUUACUAAUGGACAUUAGAUUAAAAGGCAAAGUAGGUACGUAAAGAACAGAAGACAGUGAAAGAGAUGGGUUAAUUUCUACAGUGUCUAAUCCUUUAACUUUAAUUGUAGAUCUAUCAACUAAAGUAACAUGAGGAAAGGAGAUAGACUCUUGAAAAUUAGAAAAUUUUCUAAAGGUACCUGACAUAUGAUCGGUAGCCUGGGAAUUAAUAAUCCAUGAGUCAAAAUUAGAAGAUGUGGAGAGACAAACCAUAGCAUUAUUUUUUUGUGCUAAAGAAGCAAAGAGAAGAGAUGCGUGAUUUGUAAUUUGGUACUACAGAAAUUUAACAUAAUCUUAUUAGGAUAUGGUAAAAGUCUUUUGGGACCCCCUUGUGCUGAAGAAUUUGAUUCAGUUUGGUCAGUAGUAACCACAUUAGCAAAUCAAGGAGGUUUUCCAACUAAAUCCCAACAAGUAUCACGAUUAUGAUUUUUCAAACUACAAUGAGUGCACUCACGGAUGCCUCGACCUCCAUGACCCCCACGACUUCCUCUACUUCUUCCUCCAUGAGAGCCAUGUCCAAAACUAAGUUGCUCAUAUCCAAAGCUAAGUUGCUCUAUCUGAUUGUUAUUAGCAACUAAAGCAAACUUGUCAUUAAUUAGAGCACCAUCACCCUGUGCAUUGUCCUUAGAUGUAGAACGUGAGACCCGAACAUACGCCUCUGUAAAGGAUGGUAAUUGUUUACCUGCUAAAAUUUGAGAUUUGAUUGGUUCAAAUUCUGGCUUAAAGCCAGCCAAGAAUUUGAGCACAAGCAUUUGUUCUAUUUGCCUCUGUAUAACUGUAAUAUCACUUGAGAGAGGCAUUACAACAUUUAAUUCUUCUGAAAUUCGCUUGAUAUCAGCAAAAUAUUCAAUUACUAUUUUGUUAUCUUAUUGCAACUGAAAAUACUCCAAAGAAAUAUCAUACAUCUGUGAAAGAUUACUGCAGUAUAAUAACCGGACAUAAUCCCAAACUUCUUUUGUUGUCUCACAAUGAGUACACAUGUAAGCAAUUCGUGGCUCCAUAGAAUUCCAUAUUGCUCCAAGAAUUUUGGCAUCCUUUUGAAUCCACAUUAGUCUCUUGUUGUCCUCCAUAGGAGAGUCAUCUGUGAGACAUCGUUGCUUUCCUAGACUUGUCAGACAAAUUUUAACGGCUUUUGACCACGGUUGAUAAUUAGUAUCAUUUAACUUCCAAUUUGUGAUUUGAGACAUCACCAUUGGCAUAAUAUUAGUAGAUGUCACGAUACUUUUUAAUAAACUUUUAACCAUAGCGAAUAGCAGUUCAAAUUAAAAAACAGUCAAAACUCGUGAUGAACAGUACCGUGUAAACAAUACGCGAUGAACAAUGUUGCGUGAGCAGUGCAUGAUGAACAGUAUCGCGUGAACAAGACUUUUACUAGAUAUUUAACCCUAACCCUAGGAUUUUAGCUCUGAUACCAUGAGAAUAUGUAUUUUGGGAGAAAAACAUCUAUUCACCGUAUUAUGAGUGAUCAACUAGUAUUUAUAGGAGUUCAAACCUAACAAACUAUUUACAAGAAUACCCUUACUAAUUUAUUAUCUAUAAGAAUACUUAUAUUCUCUUAACACAUAAUAUAUCUCAAAGAUCAUUUUCUUACAACUUGUAAAAACUACUUGUGUAAAAAGAAUCCACUAGCCUACCAACCACUCCAUUUGGUUGAAUUUCACCAUGAUAUAUAGUUUUCAUCAUUUUUUUUAUUCGAACACCAAUUUGUACUUCCUAAUUUAGUUUGCUAUUUUGCUUUUGAUGAUGAUUUUUAGAGAUUAGUAAAUUUGCAUGUAUGGUCAUAUUUCUUUUUUUUUUCGUUAAAGUGUAUACAAAAGUUUCCUUAUUUGGGAAGUUAUACAUAAAAACAGACUUAGCGUAAAGAUUAUGUAAUAGAAUUCAAAUUGUUGGAAAAAAAAAUCUUGCUUGACCUCAAUAGCGAUAAAUUUGUUAAAGAACAUUUUGUCAUGAAUUAUUUGUUUUUUUAUUUCCUUUUAUGCACAUAUGGUAGAAAAUCAACAAUUCACUAUCAUGAUUCUAUAUUAAUAUAAUGUUUAAAGUAAAAAGCCAAAACUAAAUUGUAUCAAAUGGACCACUUUUAUAAGUGGAUAUAAUAUAUUUUUGUUGUAUUUUCAUAAUAAUUAUUUUCUUUACUAGUUAAUUAAAUUGAAAUAAUGUUCAUGAAAACACUGAUUACAAGCUUAGAACUCGUAAAAAUGGUUUGUGUAUAGAUAUUCGAGUAAUACUACUACACGAACAUGGACAUCUAAAUAAUUUUGUUUAUUGAUAAAACAUUUUUGGGGUGAAAUAUCUAAUGAGGGAUUUCUAAGUAGAAUUGUUGAACUUUAAAAGUGCACAAAUAUCACGUUAGGCAUAUUCUUCAUAGAUUCGUCUACCUUGCUUUCUUUUCACUUGAAUAUUUAUGGGUAAAAUUUUUCUUAACAUUUGAAUUUCUUAGUAUUUACUUUCUAGUGGUAUUCGUUAGGUUAAAAAGUAACACAGCGUUUUUAAUUUUCCUUUAGAAAAACACACAACAUCACGUGAGCAAAAAUCUCGUGUAGCUACUAUGAUACUACUACCAACAAAUCCACCACUUAAAUUCUCACACACACAAAUCUAUGAUAAUCAUAGAUGCACAGAUGAACUUUCACAAAUUCAAUGAUAUUUAUCCAAGCUUAUCUAAGUAUUUGCUGUGAUAAAUGUUCUUUGUUUUCUUUUGAGGUGGUUGGUGGGGUAGAGAUUGUUUUUUUGUGAAAUUUUGGAUUAAUUAUUUCCUCUCACACACGCACUGUGACAUGUUCACAUGUAGAAUCAAAAUCGAUUUUAAAACACAUGUAGGACAUGCAUGAGAAAAAUGUGUUAUUUCAAUUACAAAAUAAUAAGUAAAUCCAAGAAAAAAGUGAGAAUGCAAGGAUAGAAGUCAAGCAGGAAAGAAGAGCAAAUUUUGCUUUAAAUGAAAAAAGUGGCCAUAUGAGAAUGGAUGUCAGGACUCCCAAAUUUUCUUACUUUAAAUUCCUAUUAUGAGUUCAUUUAAAUAUUUAUUUGGUCGUUUAUUUCGAAUAUUUUAUUUCAGCCUCUUUAUACUCAAUUACAUGGGACUAUGACCUAUAAGUAUUUUAAAAAUGUCUUGAUUCGAAAAUUUAUUUUUGAAAGCUCAUUUAGAGUGAAUGGUCGAUGCACGUUUGGAGACAUUAAUUGAUUCGAGGACACAAUAAGUUUGGAAAAUUGGAGACUUGCACAUUAGUCUUGAAAUAGGUUUUUUUACGUUUAAGUACUCAAGUGUUAGUUAUUUAUACUAUCGUUAUAAGAAUUUCUUGGAAGUUUCGUCGUAAUGUGUGCAAAUAGAAAGUUCACGUAUAUUGAACCGAAGCGGUAAAUUGGAGAUUUGAGAAAUUCAUUUUAGACUAUUAAGAGUGAAUAAUAAUAGUACGAAUGGAAGUGCAUUAGAGGUUUAGUGCACUAGUGAAACAAACUCGAGAGGAAUCGAGCAUGAAACACGUGCAUGCGCAAAUAGAGGGAGAGUUGACUUUUGAGACAAUUUGAACCACACAUUUAAGCUUCCCAAGAAAGCUUCAUUUUUAGCAAACACACCCCUCUCUCUUCACUCAUAGCAGUCGGCCACAAGGAGGAAGAAAGAACCAACAUUUCUUCUUCAUUUCACCACUCAAAUCUCACCCAAAUCACUUCAAAAUUUACACACACUUUGCAAACCACUUGGAGAUCAACCUAAGUUAGGAAAAGGGCUUGCUUCUCAUGGUUUUCUUUAGCUUCCAAGGACUGAAGUUUUCUGUCUUAGUCAUCUACAAAGGUAAACAACGAUCAACCUCUUAAAACUUGGUUUAUGGAAGUUAUCUUGCACUUGUAAGCUCAUAAAUUCAUGUUGGUAGCUUUAUAUUGUUCGAAAUCUUGUGAGUGGACUCUAUGAAAUCCCACAAUGGCUUGAUGAACUGAUUUGAUGUUAUUUAUAUUGGAUUAGUGCUUAAUCUAGUGAAAAUAAAUUGUAUUGUGGAAGAAAGCUCAAAGGAAGUGAAAAGAGAAUUUUACCGUUUCUACCCCUGCUAUUGCCGUGCACUUUGGUGCAUUUUUUUGUGGUCCAAUUGACUUGUUUAUGAUUUAGAUAUGUUGUGUAGGUUGUGUGGAAAGUUUCACAAAAAAUUACGUGAUUUGGAUAGGUAAAUGUUGAGAUUUCAAAUAUGUAGAAAAACUAGAAACGUAACCAGAGCCUCUCUGGCAGUGAUUUUGUUUCCCAUAACUCUUUGUUUCAAUGUCGAAAUCAAGUUCUGUUUGUGGUAUUAGAAAUUAGACACUUCCAGUUUUCCAACAGUGUAAAAUGCAUGCCCUGAUUCCACCUGAGUGAGCCGUACCAACCUUGUAAAUUUGCCUGUUCUGUUUCUCGUCUGUACUGGAAGCCCUGUUUGAGCUGCGACUUGAUGCUCAAAUAUGAGUUAGUUGUGGACAGAAUUUUUAAAUGAUUCCUUCUGAGAAAUUGUAGCCUUAUGAAUGUAAUUUUCAACGCCACCAACCACGCUCAAUUCUGAGUUGAAUUGAGUGAGUUGUGACCGGAUUUCAGAUCUGUCUUCGUAAAAGAAAACCCUAAUUCUGGACUGAUUUAUAGCUAAUCUUGAUUUGGGACUUGUUAUUCGAAAUCUUUGGUGUUAAUCAUCUACCAAAUGUAUCUUGGAUAUUUAUUAGACCUUGUUUUCAUAAAUAAAUCAUGUUCGAGGAAAUUUUAUUGGCCAAAUGUUUGAAAAAAGGAAAACGCAAGUGCAGGGAAGAUUUGCCUUAGCAAAUUGUGGAAUUUUAAUGGUUUUGUUAACCAACUUUCCGAACGAAUUUUUGUAUGAAAUUUGACAUAGAAAUAGCCCUUAUAUGGUAGUGUAAUCAUACCAAAUUUGGUGCCAUUCCGAGUCCAUUUCGAUGCUCAACCAAAGAUUCAAAGUCUAUGUUUUAAUCCUAGAAAAUGGUCUAACAGUCGCAACUUUUGGGUAAAUUUGAACCACCAUAUCUUGAUGCUCAAAAUCCCAAUUUUUGUUUUGCUUGUUUUGUUUUAAACUUUGAUUAUAACUCUAAUUGAUUUCCAUAUUUCAAAGGCUAGUUCGCAUUGUGUGAAUUUUGCCGAAUUUCCAAAGUUGGCCAAAAACCAACCCCAAAAACUGCCUUAGUAUUCAAAACAGCAUUUUGAACCCAAAAUUUGAAUGUCUUUCAUUUGGAAUCAUGGAAAAGUGUCUUGUAGAAACUUUUAGUACUUUGUAAGUACUUUCCAACGGUACCAAGUUUUCCAAUUUUGGACUUACAAAGAGUGAGUUACGAUUUUUCAAAGAUCGCUCGACAAAUCUGAAAUUUUCGAACUUAAAGAAAAUUGAGGGUUUCGAACUCUCCAUUUUUCUUUAAUAUUGAUAGACCAUUUUACACUUGAUUUCAAAGAUAAAAAUCAAAUUUUUCUUGUGUUUUAAAACCCCACCUUUGAGCCUCAAUUUGCGAGUAAUUAAGGCUCAUUUUCAUGAGAUUUUCUUAGAUUGUACUCUAGUGCAAUCCUCCUCGAUAAUUAGGGGUUUUAAGCGAUAGUGUGUAAUAGUUCAUUAUUAAUUGAUCAGGCAUUCAAGAGAACCUGCAAGAGGAUGUCACGAAAGACGCCUAAACAAUCGCUUGUCAUUGCUUUUUAAAUUACUUGGUGAGUGUCAAGUGUAUGUAAACUUGAUAUGUGUUUAAUUGUUAUUAGUGAUUGGGAAUUUUGAAAAUACUGAGUCGAGUGUGUAUCUUACCACACUCAGUCUCAUUUGUAUGAAUCAUGAAUGACUUAAUUGAAUCGAAAUGAAUGAAUCGUGAAUGACUUGAUUAAAAUGAAAUGAAUGAUUGAAUGUAUUGAAUGAUUGAAUGAAAUGAUUAAUUAUACUAUGGCUGCAUAAGUCGAUUGGAGCGAUGCCUCAUCGACCGCUGAGCGAUUGUAAGUACCACACCGAUUUGGUGGGAGGUACCUCUCGAGUCAUCUCAGUACCGUAAACCAUGCUAAGUCGAUUGGAGCGAUCCCCCACUGAACGAUUGUAAGUACCAUACCGAUUUGGGGGGAGGUACCUCUCGAAUCGUCUCAGUACCCUAAACCUCUGAACGAUAGCAAGUACCACACCGAUUUGGUGGGAGAUGCCUCUCGAAUCGUCUCAGACCUAUAAACUGAGCGAUAGUAAGUACCACACCGGUUUGGGUAGGAGGUGCCUCUUGAGUCGUCUCAGAAACCUAAAUGGAAUAGGUAAAGUGCUAUGAAUUUAAUUAUCUACCCGAGUGACGGGGUAUUGUCACGAGAAGGUAUUGGAUUGAAUUUGGGCAAAGUAAAUAAAGAUUAAACUCCUGAGAGAUCCUACAUCCUUCUCAAGGGGGUUUAUUAUAAAUUGUGAAUUUCUUAAAUGUUAUAGUUUUCACUAUUGUGUAAGUGCUAUUGCUAUUGAAUUACUUGUCUUACAUGUUUUCUUGACCUCACGAGUAUUCGCUCACCCUGUUAGAUUUUUUUUCCUUAACAGGAGCUGAAAUGGGAGGAAUUCUGGAGAAACUUACUUGAUGCUACAUUUGAUUAGAAUUGUGAAUGUAUUUGUUUAGAAUUUGAUUUUGGAAGCUGUAUAUUUUGGGAAUGUAAAGUAAUUGGGUAGAUUAGGAUGUAAGACUUGAACGUUUAUAAAGGAAUUGACCUUCCUUUAUCUCUUUGAUAUUUAGUAUCGAUUGGUUAUUAUUGAAUUUAAAUUGAAUUAGUACGGAGUUCUGGCGAGAGUUGGGCAGGCGUUUCGUCGAUACCCUUGAGUUCGCCCUUGGGAGAAGUGGGGGUGUCACAAUAGACAUCGUGGCAAGAAGAACAAAAUUUGCUUCAAUUGCGUGAUGAUAAAAGCAAUCAAGGAAAAGAUAGAUAACCAUUGAAGAUCGGUGAGAUGAGAUAGUCAUUAAUUUACUCUAUUGAAGCAUAUUCCAAGGAUGAUUUCUCACAUAGAUCUGACUCUCUCAAUCUUUGGUAAGUUAUAGAUCCAAGUGGUACAUUCUUGUACAUUGACUGAUCUUACAAUAUUAUUUUUUGACAUGCAACUAUAAUACAUUUGCAAGGAAAUGAUCCCUAGGCAUAAUUUAGGUUGUGCAAAACACUCUUAAGACAUUAAAAUUAUUGUGGUAGCACCAUUGACACCAUAAUUUUAGUAGGUAUCAACACAUACUAAUGUUUAAAUUGUGAUUUGCAUCGUCUAAUUUCUAUAUAUAAAAGGAGAGGAGAGGGUUGGUGCAAAUAUAUUGUGUCACUUUGUGUUAUACCUAAAGUAACCUUUAAAGUUAGUCAUCAAAACUAUUCACAUUUCCUCUUUUGUUUUCCACCAUAGUUUCAAUACAAUAAAUUCUUCCAAAGUCUUUUUUUUUUUUUGAAUGUUUAAAAUCAAUGUAACAUUCAUAAUCAAGGACCAGAAAACAGAGUUGAUGGCUGAGUAUUCCAGAACAAGAAGCUAUUGACUCCUAGUCCAAGAUGAUUACCUUUAGGCAAAAAUAUUUCUUAGUACACUGAGGAAUUAAGUCACUGCAGUCUAAGCUCUUGCACGUCUUAAAUUACCAAAUAGCCUACUUGAAAUAAAACAAAACUGAAUAAACACACGAGAUUUACUAAACUUCAAAGUGAAACCGAUUACUGUGAAACGCCCAACCACUUUGAGAAGUUCUCAAACUCGGUGUAAUCACUAUCUGAGAUCAUUGUUUUGUACCAUGACUUUCCAGCAGCUUUUACAGCAGACGUCUCCUCCUUCGUCAUUGGACUCCUCUUCUUGGCCAGCUUCUCCCUCUUAGCCUCAACACGCUGUUUCUCAGCCAAGAGAGCCAUCCUCCUAGCAGUCUUGGCAUAAGGAUUGAGCUUGAGCAAACAAUUCAAAUUCUUCCAAAGUCAAACUAUUCACAUUCUCUCUUUUUUUCCACCAUAAUUUCAAAUACAAUAAAUUGCUAUAAAGAAAUAGUACUUACAGAUUUUCCAAAUAAACACUUACAUGUGUAGCAUGAAAUGCAAUAACUUAACAUGUUAGGGAAAAAUCAUACACUUUGUAAAAUAAACACACACUUAAGGUGUGACAAAAGCACUAGUUUUGAAAAAGUAGGCGAUUUGACAAAAUAAGAAGUGAAUGAUAUUAAAAUUCAAACAAAAUAGAUGGCUAGAAGAAUUGAUAUUUGAGAAUGACUUAUAACAAUAAAAGUUUCUCUAUUUUCCUUAGUUGAGCCUUGAAUUCUCUAAUUAAAGACCUAAUUAAAAAGAGCCAACACAAAUUAUAAAAAAGAAAAGUUUACAUGCCAACAAUAAUUUAUGUGUAUAGUUACCUAAAUAUCACGAAUAACUAAAGCAGAUUUUGUAAUUUUUUUAUCACAAUAAGCAAUUAGAAAUUAUAACAUCUUACAACAAUAUAUAUAAACUCAAUAGAACAGUAUAUAUAUGCAUAUAUAUAUAUAUAUAUAUAUAUGCAAUCAGAGGCCAGAUGAGCAUCUCAAUGAUUGGGGCUAAUAUCACUUGUUAACUGACACAACUUUUAACCAUAAAAGAAUGAGAUGUGGCAGCCCGACUACCUAGAAUUUAGAACAUUUCAAAACUUUUGAACAUUUCAGAUUUGGUUUUUGCUAAAAUGUACACAACCUUCUAUAUUUUCCUAUAGCCUAUGGGAGCCAAGAGCUACGGGAAGACAUUGCAAGAUUUGCAGCUUAAUGUCACUUAUAUGUACUAAAGUACUUGCUUGGUUAAUGCGCAUGAAUUGAAGAAUCUAACCUUAUGACAAAUGCAUCACAUGGUUUAUAUUUUAUGGUUAAUCCUUUUCUGGUAUAUAUUUUAUAGUUUUGGUCAUUUAUUGACAUUAAGGAUGGUGAUGUUGCCUCGUGUAAGAUUGACACCUCCUACCAUCACAUCCAUAGCUAUCACCCCUUUUUCAAUCUCAUCUAUUUGAAAGAAAAGAAAGUGGCCAUAACCAUCUGUUGUUUUCCAAACAUAGUUACCUAAGUUUGUUGAAUAAAGUAAUUGACAAACAUGAGAUUCUCGUACGAAUUUUUUUAGUUGGCAUCAAAGUCUAUGGCUUAAAUUAUAUACUGUGACAGGUUUGUCAGUUAGAUACAUUACGAAACUCAAAAAGUACAAACUUAUUUCCUUAUUCUGAUGGAAAGACAAUAAUUUAAAAAAAUUAAGUCACGCAACAUGGGUUUUUUUUCACGCAAUAUGGAUUUAAUAAAUCAAGUGCUUGGAAGGAUGAUUCUUGAAAAGGUGAUUAUGAAUGUUUGGAAUGCAUUCCUAAUGCACAACAAAGAGCAUAUUUACUUCCACUGACAUACAUUGAAUCUGAUAUAUUAGUGCUUUGGUAUCUGGGAAACUGUUGUAGGAUUAGAACUCUUUCGUACAUUAAUGAUUGAUGUAUCAAUAUUCAAGGAUAUAUGCUCAAGACUUCAAAAGGAAAAAAAAUUAAAUAAGAAAUGAAGAUCUUUCUGAAUUGGUAUAUGUCGUGUGUUUCAAAGUUUGGCUUUGGAAUUGGAUAUCUUGUCUAUUUUGAACAUUCAGUGUACUGAUUUUGCUGGUAUCCUUACAUGACAAAGAGUAUCAGUAAUUAAUUUAGUGACAUGCAUAUAUAUAAACGUAUAUGUACCAGAAAAGAGUUUUUCGAUUAAUUUUGGAUUAGAGUUUUUGGUUUCAAAAUCACUUUUAGCACAAAUUCAAAAUUAGCAAUUUUGGGAUAACUUUUAUUCCUUAAAAAAUUAAAAAUAAAUUUUGACUAAUUUAUCAUUCUAUUCAAAAUGUUAUAAAGAUUACAAAUAUAAUUUAGAAUUCAAAAUCAUACAUUAUCCAACAAAAAAAACUUACGUAAGUAUAACGUUAAACGACUGAAUUAGAUAUACAUUAAAGUGUAUCUAAAGUGUGUACUUUGGCAUAAAAAAGUUAAAAGUUUGCAAGCGAAGUAAGAUUAAGCUUACUUCUUCUCGUGUUUCUUAAUAGCAGAUAAUUGAAGAAUGUGAAGAAAAAGAAGUUCUUAUCAUCUAAACAAUGCAAUUUGUGAUAGCCUACGUGCUCCCGAAAGGAUCUAACUAACUAUAUCUUUAACGUAGUUUAAAAAAAAAAAAAAGAGAGGAAAACUUGCAUUUGAGUUCUCAUGUUGAACAUGCUCAUAUCAUGUUUUUGGCGUCUACAAUGGAACUCGAAGUUGAUCUCUUCCUCUGAACAUCUUUCUCGUAGGAAAAUGACAUAUUUUUGUCAUCGCUCAAAUGCCCCACAAUCGGUGCGCUACAUCAUUACCUUACGAGUGUUAGUACCGACAAAAAAAAACACAGAAACGUGUAUGCAUGAAAAACAAAUCAGAAAGGAUGUGUUCACAUAGCUCAAUUGAACAUGCUGUCAUGAACUCACUUCUGACAAGAAAACUAGACUUCCCUUGGUUGCUGAUGAUACAGCUAUUUGGUCCUUGCUGGAAAGCACAGGAUUUUAUAAUCCUACCAAGAUGGCCAUUUUUGGUUGUUGGAAAUAUUUGGCAUGUAAUGAGAAAAAGACUUAGUGUUAAGAGUUUCUUUUGUAACGCCCUUGGAUUUGUAAGAAAUUAAGUUAACACAAGUUAUAAAGAAAGUAGGGUGUUAUUUAUAAAAAUUAACAAGAAAAUAUAACCUGACCUAUACAUUUAUGAGACAUGCUGUUUGAAGAAGCGCAGAGCUUCCCCGAGGAGAGCUGACUGAUCAGCUCGGGGUGUCGAUGGGAGAGCUGAUCCAAGACCUGCAAAACAGAGAAGAGGGGCUAACAAAGGGGCCCCGAGGUGGUCCCCGAGGGCACUCCGACGGCCAAGUUAGUUCUCCGGUGAGUAGGGUUCACGGGGAGUGGUAACAGCCGGGGGUAAUUGGCCUAUAGCGAGCGUACCUUGGGCAAUGGGUGUGUAGCACUAUUUAUACCUGGGCCAGAGUCCGACCUCCGUACGUUCCGGGACCUUCCUGAUAUAAUCUCAAUCCCGCGCCGAGCGGGAUCUCCUCCGACCUCUGCGGGACGGUCUCCUGAUCCCCCUGGAGCCCUAGCGGGGGUGCGGCCCAGGGCGGUAACCAGGAGCCUGGGGCCGGAACCCAACUCGGCUAUACCUGGGCUGCCACGUGUCUAGGCCCAAUACAGGGCCUCUGCACUAGCCCCCUAGAUUAGGUAAGGCUUCCAGGCAAACCUAAUCUAUACUCUGUCACGUGGGAGACCAGCGUCGCGCACUGCUCUGCCCCGGUCACCUCUGGUACAGUGCUGUCACUGAGAAAACCGCGCCGAUCUCCUAGGUCGAGCGUCAAACUCCCAAGUUUCGACAAACUUGAUCAAUGCGUGCCGACCUCAUGGGACCGAGCAUCAAAUUAACACUAACAUGGUUUAAGCCCCCGACUUUUAAAGAUUUGAGCCUUGCCGACCUCUUGGGUCAAACAAACUUAUUCAAGUUAAGGCACAACGUGCCGACCUCUUGGGGCCGAACAUCGCACUUUCCGACUUCAAAAUUUCAAGCCGUGCCGGCCUCUUGUGGCCGAGCAUCAUACUUUGAAGGCAGUCACGCCAACCUCCCGGGUCGAGCGUCAAACUCUGAUUUUAGCGGAUAUGCCAACCUCUUGGGGUCGAGCAUCACAUUUCCAAGGCAGUUAUGCCGACCUCCUGGGUCGAGCGUUGAACUCCAUGAUUUUAGCAGACGUGCCGACCUCUUGGGGUCGAGCAUCACAUUUUCCAGGCAGUCAUGCCGACCUCUUGGGUCGAGCAUUACAUUCUCAGGGCAGUUAUGCCGACCUCCUGGGCCGAGCGUUGAACUCCAUGAUUUUAGCAGACGUGCCGACUUCUUGGGGUCGAGCAUCACAUUUUCCAGGCAGUCAUGCCGACCUCCUGGGUCGAGCAUUACAUUCUCAGGGCAAUCGUGCCGACCUCCUGGGCCGAGCCAGCGUGCUCCCUGGUUUUGACAAGCUGCCUCAAAGUAAGUCACGGCGUGCCGACCUCUUGGGCUCGAGUAUCACACCUUCAAGACGGUCAUGCCGAUCUUUUGGGUUGAGCGUCAAGCCCCCCGUCUUUAACAGGCGUGCCGACCUCUUGGGGUCGAGUAUCGCACUCUCAAAUUUCGCAAUUUCAAGCCGUUUGCGGACCUCAUGGGGGGUUUUUCCGUCCUCUCCGCUCUCCGAGCCCCCCGCGCCCCCGGCCGCCUCGGUCUCCGCUCGCUAGGAUCCCUCGCCGGCUCUCGGGCCGGUGCUCUCAAUGGUUCGCUUGGAUCGUGUUCUUGCCAUCAAUACAACAAUAAUUACCUUGCGUUUCCCACAGACGGCGCCAACUGAAGAAGCGCAGAGCUUCCCCGAGGAGAGCUGACUGAUCAGCUCGGGGUGUCGAUGGGAGAGCUGAUCCAAGACCUGCAAAACAGAGAAGAGGGGCUAACAAAGGGGCCCCGAGGUGGUCCCCGAGGGCACUCCGACGGCCAAGUUAGUUCUCCGGUGAGUAGGGUUCACGGGGAGUGGUAACAGCCGGGGGUAAUUGGCCUAUAGCGAGCGUACCUUGGGCAAUGGGUGUGUAGCACUAUUUAUACCUGGGCCAGAGUCCGACCUCCGUACGUUCCGGGACCUUCCUGAUAUAAUCUCAAUCCCGCGCCGAGCGGGAUCUCCUCCGACCUCUGCGGGACGGUCUCCUGAUCCCCCUGGAGCCCUAGCGGGGGUGCGGCCCAGGGCGGUAGCCAGGAGCCUGGGGCCGGAACCCAACUCGGCUAUACCUGGGCUGCCACGUGUCUAGGCCCAAUACAGGGCCUCUGCACUGUUUGACAAUUUUAACUAACCUAAGAGUUUUAUAAUGAAUAAUCACUGGUCAAUGAUACAAUAAUCAUCCAUUAGAAACCUAUUUACUUAAUGUCGUAUUCGCGUGCUUAUCAAAUUAGUUAGACCAAAGUAAAAAAAAAAAAACUCCGAUCCAAGUUUGUUAUCUAUUAUCUAAUAAGCAUUGUUUUAUAGAGGGGUGUCAAUUAUUAGUUUUUUGUUUAAAAAAUUAAGAUUAAAUAAAGAAAUUAUACAAAUACUAAUGAAUGAUAUGUGAUAUAUAUAGUGUGUGUGCACUUAAAUGAUUAGAUUAAAAUAGAUAUGCUAACAAAUACCUGAUAAGCAUUGAUUUAAAAAAAAAAAGUCCUUCAAUUAACAUGAUUUUCAUAUUUUCAUGUUAUUAAAGGGAGGUUAAAAGUACAAUGAAAUUGAGUUUAGGUCCUAAACACUCAAAGCUGGUUUUAACAACAAAUGGAGGGUUAAUUCCAUUUUGCAGCCUUCAGGUAUAAAUUGGAAUAUUUUAGUCCCUAAACUAUAUCCUGAUUCUCACUUCAAUCUCUAAACUCGUUAUUUUGAGAUUUUUGUUUAUUGUUUGAUUGCAUAUUCCUUCUGUGCCCUUACAAGAUGCAACCAUACUGCUCAUGUGACUAACAUUACGUUAGUUUUGCAGAUUUUCUUAACAAUUAUACUUAAGUAGGAUGAGUGGAACUAAAUGUCCCAUUCAUGUUCAAGGAUCAAAGUCGGAAUUGAGAUAAAGUUGACAGGUGCAAUAUGGAAUUAACACACAAAUGAACGAGUUAAAACAAACUCAUACAUUUAUGCUGUUUCUCUUUUGUUACCGAUACCGCACUAACUGUUUGAAAUUCCAAAAUGAGAAAAAAGUUAACAUCUCUAAGUUAUACAUUAUGACCAAACAAACAACUUUUAUUGUGAACCUUUUAUGUUUAAUUUGGCAUACGUUGUGUCCGAAUCUCCUAUCAUCCAGCAUAAGUUGGGGUUAGAUCUACUUCGCAUUCUUAACUAUACCUGAGUUUUAACUUUGAUUGCUAAACUUUAAAAUGAGACACUUUAAUUUCAAAUUAUCCUAAAAUAUAAAACUUGUCCAUUUUAGUCCCUAAAAUAUAAAAUUUGUUCCAAUUUAAUUCCUAAAGUACAUCCACUUAGGCAUAAAAUCUAUCUCAUUUUCUUAACGACGUUACUUAAGUGGGACAAAUUUUAUAACUUAGGGACUAAAGUGCCUCAUUUUUAAGUCCAAGGACUAAAGUGAAAAUUUAGGUAUAAUUGAUGGGUGCAAAGUGAAAUUAGCCGUAUAAGUUGAGAAUAGGUGGUUGUAAUACGAAUACACAGCAGUAACGACUAAUAAGCUCAAGAAUACUUUCCUUUUGAUGUACAAAGGUGAAGAUUAUGAACCUUUAUGCUUACGUGAAGUUUGUGAAGGUUAUGAACAUUUAUGCUUAUGUAUAAAGGUGAAGGUGAAGGCUAUGAACCUUUAACACCUUCUCUUUAUGCUUGGUUGACAAGGAUAGCUUGAAUCACAUCUUUCCUCAUUGCCCUCUUGCAGUGCAGGUUUGGGCUCUGUGUUAUCUUUACAGCAAGCUACAUCUAGAUAGGCCCCAAGUUUUUUCUUCUUGAUUUCCUUCCCUUCUCCUUUUCCUGCCUGCGUCAGACAUGGAACUUGUUGCUACUAUUUUGUGGAGUUUAUGGAAUAACAGGAAUGGGAAAAUAUUUGAAGGGACUUCUAAAGACCUUCGGUACCACUAUUCGGUUCUGGUAUUUUAAAAUACCUUCAGAACUAAAGUUGAAAUAAGUCGUUUCCCCUUUUUCCACCUUCUCUCCCUAUUUCCGCACCAUUGAAUCCCCCUUUUGAGCUUCUUUAAUCCGCUCCAGUAGGAUGGAGGUUACCCUAAUAUUACCAAAAAUCACUUUAUGACUUCCAAGGCAGGGUUUUCACUCGCAAACGGAUUCCAACAAAUUCCAUUCCUUGAUCAUCAGUCCUGCUACCUGAGUCUUGCGACUUAAGACAUCGGCUACCACAUUCGCCUUUCCCGGAUGGUAGUUAAUGGUGCAGUCGUAAUCCUCUAAAAAUUCCAUCCACUGCCGCUGUCUCAUAUUCAAUUCCUUUUGAGAGAAAAGAUACCUAAGGCUUUUAUGGUCGGAAUACACCUCGAACGUUACCCCAUAUAAGUAGUGUCUCCAUUUCUUCAAAGCGAAAACAACCGCGGCUAAUUCUAAAUCAUGGGUUGGGUAGUUUUGCUCGUGGGGUUUUAACUUCCUAGAGGCAAAAGAUAUCACAUUUCGGUUCUACAUCAGUACACACCCUAAGCCUUUUUGUGAAGCAUCGGUAUAAAUGGCAAACCCAUCAACUCCGUUAGGCAGGACUAAAACUGGCGCCAUAGUCAACCUUUUCUUUAACUCCUGAAAGCUCGCGUCACAUCUGGCAUUCCACACAAAUCGGCCGAUCAACUUUCGCUAGUCUCUUUAGCAACUAGCUUUUGGAAAGAUUACCAAGAAGCCGUCCAGAGUUCGCUACAUGGUUCUCCUGUACCUACUUCAGCCCCUACAUUUUUUAAAGGCCAACUUUGAUGGAGGAGUUUUUCAAAACGAAGGCUGCUGUGGCAUUGGAGUAGUUAUUAGAGAUAAUUCUCGUAAUUUCAUAGCUAGACUGACAAGCCAAGUUGAUGGUGUUUUAUCAGUAAAGGCUAUAGGAGCUUUAGCUGCUAAAACUGCAUUUCAUGUCCUACUUCAGCUUCAAGCUACGGAUAUUAUCCUCAAGGGUGAUUCUCAAGCAAUCAUUGAGAGCAUUAUUUCAUUGGAGGAUGAUUGGUCCAGUUUUUAGAUGAUCCCAAGAACUUGGGAAGCCAAUUGGAUCCCAAGAACUUAACAAUGUUAUGCAUAUAGCUGUUGGCUUGUCAUGCAAAACAUAUAAGCUAAAUGCUUCUAGGUGGGAUUCUACUCCGCCCAGACUUUUGUUAUUUUCGCUCUUAAUGUGGACAUUAGUUGAUAAUAAAAUCUAUGGUUCUUUAUCAAAAAAGAAUGUGAGCAAAUUGGUCUAAGGGGAGUUGGUUGUCAGUCUUAUUUAUGCGAUUUACAUUAUCUACUUGGAUCACGCUUGGCCAUCAUGGAAGCAGGCUCAAAUCUUGGUUCAAAGUCGCGAACGUGGUCCGAACAGUUCUACAUCGGUUUCAGCAUAUCGGUCGUUGUCUCGUCGAUCGAGAUGCAAAUUUUUGAAAUAUUUAAUAUUUUAAAAAAUAUGAUAAACAAAAAUAAUUAAAAAUAAUAGCAAAAAUAAUAAAAAUUCGAAUUGAUUCGAAAGGAUUCGACCAUUUCUAUUCCGUCUCGAUCAAGUUUUCAGCGAUUUAUUAUCUCGGAAUCAUCUUGUCCUGAUAUCGGAUCGGAAAGCCCCGUUCUAGUGACGACUCGACCGAGUCUUUGAACCAUGGCUCAAAUGCGGUGUUUGUAAUCUCUGCAACUGAUAGUUGCUCAUGGUGUGCCUUUUCUGCAGAAAUAACAGGUGCGUAGGAGGAAUGCAUGAAAUGGAUGCGUGGGUAUGGCACCAAGUUUGUUUGGAAUUCAGUAACAUCCACGUUAAGAGCACCAUCAAAGCGAAAAGAUGCUGUCAAGGAGGAGAUCACCUGCAUGCAAAAGACAGAUUAUGCUCGAAGACAUCCAUCAAUCAGGGAUCUUUGUUGGUCAGCUGAUCUAUUUCCCCAUUUGACAUCCAUUUCUACUUCUAGUUGACAUCAAAUUCUAGAAUUUUCAAAAAACAAGGCACAACAUUACCAAAGAUACCAGCAAGAUAAAUGAAUGGACUAGCCACGACAUGUUGUGUUAUUCCAUAUUUAACAAGUGCAAACAGCUUUACCUUUCAAACAGUAAUAGGGGUGGCCAGAAUAAAUGUCAUUAUAUUUCAUACCUGCGAAACCAGCCUGUUCAGAUUGAUGUAGGUAGGCCUCUCAAUAUCCAGUGAUCUACGACAAAUAUCAUAAAUGGCUUCAUUGUCCAAAAGCAUUGAAACAUCUGUGUGCUCAAGGAGCGAGUGAGUGGAAAGAACGCUGUUGUAAGGCUGAACAACAGCUGUUGAGACCUGGGGAGAGGGACAAAUUGUGAACCCAAGCUUUGAUUUCUUGCCAUAGUCGACUGAAAGCCUCUCCAACAGUAAGGAACCAAGGCCAGAGCCAGUUCCACCACCAACAGCAUGAAAAACUAAGAAUUCUUGUAAUCCUGUGCUGUUGUGAGCUAGCUUUCUUUCUACUUCAACAUUUAUAGAUAAAUUUUUCUCAACGUUUGAAUUUCGUAGUAUUUUCUUUCUAAUAGUUUUUACUAAGUUAAAAUGUAACACGAUAUUUUUAAUUUUUCUUUUAGAAAAACACAACAAGCCUCUAAAAGAGGAUCCCGUGCAACUGCUAUACUACCAUCAAAUCCACCACUUGGAUUUUUACACACACUAAUUUAUGAUGAUAAAAAUGCAACUUUCGCAAAUUCAAUGAUAUUUAUCCCUGCUGAUCUAAGUAUUUGUUGUGAUAAAUGUCCUUUUGAUUUCUUUUGAGGUGGUUGGUGGGUUGGAGGUUUUUUUUUUGUGGAAUUUUGGAUUAAUUAUUUCCUCUCUCUCUCUCUCUCUCUCUCUCUCUCACACACACACACAAGCGAUAUAUACACUAUGACACAGUCACAUAUAGAGUCAGAAUCAAUUUUAAAACGUGUAUGACAUGCAUGAGAAAAUUGUGUUAUUUCAAUUUAAAAAAUAAUAAGUAAAUCCAAGAAAAUAGUGAGAAUGGGAGGAUAGACAUCGAGUUGGAAAGAAGAACAAAAUUUGCUUUAAAUGAAAAAAUUGGCCAUGUGAGAAUAGACAUCAUGGCAAGAAGAACAAAAUUUGCUUCAAUUGCGUGAUGACAAAAGCAGUCGAGAAAAAGAUGGAUAACCAUUGAAGAUCGGUGAGAUGAGCUAGUUAUAAAUUAACUCUAUUGAAGCAGAUUCCAAGGAUGAUUUCUUACAUAUAUCCAAGUCUCUCAAUCUACGGUGGGUUAUAGAUCCAAGUGGUACAUUCUUGACAUUGAUUGAUCUUACAAAUUCUUUUUUUACAUGCAACUAUAAUACAUUUGCAACGAAAUGAUCCCUAGGCGUAAAUCGACACAUACGAAUGUUUAAAUUGUUAUUUGCGUUGUCUAAUAUCUAUAUCUAUAUUAUAUAUAAAAGGAGAGGAGAGGGUUGGUGUAAACAUUUUGUGUUACUUUAUGUUAUACCAAAAGCAACCUUUAAAAUUAGUUUUCAAACUAUUCACAUUUCAUCUUUUUUUUUUCCACCAUAAUUUCAAUACAAUAACUUCUUCCAAUGUCAAACUAUUCAGAUUCUCUCUUUUCCUCCACCAUAAUCUCAAAUACAAUAAAUUGCUCUAAAAAAUUGUAAUUACAGAUUUUCCAAAUAAACAAAUACACAUGUACCAUGAAAUGUAAUAACUUAAUAUGAUGGAAAAAUAAUCAUAUUUUUUUAAAAAAAUAAACACACACUUAAGGUGUGCCGAAAGCACUAGUUUUAAAAAAAGUAUGUGAUUGCUGACAAAAUAAGAAGUGAAUAAUUUAAAUAUUCAAGCAUACAAGAAAUACACAGUUACGAGAAUUGAUAUUUGAAAAUCAUCUAUAACAGUAAAAGAUUUUCUAUUUUCCUACACAAAUUAUAAGAAAACAUUUAAAUGCACACAAUAAUUUAUGUGUAUAGUAACCUAAAUAUCAUGAUUAACUAAAGUGGUGGAAUUUGUAAUUUUUAUCAGAAUAAGCAAUUAGAAAUUAUAACAUCUUACAAUAAUAUAUAUAAACUCAAUAGAACAGUUUAUAUAUAUAUAUAUAUAUAUAUAUAUAUAUAUAUAUAUAUAUAUAUAAUUAACACGUGGUAUUAGCCCCCAUCAUUGAGAUGUUCAUCUAGCCUCUAAUUGCAUAUAUAUACCUGCUGAUUAAACCACUAAAUGUGAACUCGGCAAUUGCCAAUCAGUGGAACUGUGAAACUUGUUGGUCCUUUAAUUAGAAGGAGAAAGGACAUGUUUAUCACUAGCUUUACCAUAUUUGAAGGAUGACAAUAUACAAGCAAGAAAAUACAUAGAACAAAAGAAACCAGGCAAUUUCAACAUUUCUACAUCAAAUUAAGAUAUUAAAGGAAAUCAGAAUUGUCUAUUUACAUAGCAUAUUCCAUUCUGUUUAUUGAAGUUUUACAAUAUUUCACAGCUAAAAGAUGCACCUAGUGCUCUACAUUAUUUGUCUAUGCCAGUUGAAUUUCUUUCAAGCUCUUGACUAGCCAAAAUUUUUUUUUGAAUAUCAAAUUAACAAGACAUUUGAAAGUAAACAUGUAAACUCUGAGUUGUUGCCAAAUUAAGACACCUCAACAGCCCAUAACAGCGCAAUUAUACACAAAACUUCCUGAAUGCUUUGUUCCCAACAAUGUCCACUCGAGAGGACCUUCAUCUGGCUCCCAAGCAUUGAUCUCUAUUCACCCUCCAUUCAAUGCCCUUGGUCCAUCGAUAACCAUUAGUUGAUUACCACAGGCCCUGAAUGCCAACCCCCUGCCAUUCAUGGUGGUUGCCUGUUCAGGUAAUCUACCUAUGGUAAUCCACACAUUUCUCUGCUUGUCAUACUUCCAGACUACCUUUUCAUCGCAAUAAGCUGCAUAUAACUCAUUCUUCACCACUGCGAGCAGAGGAGGUGCUCUUGCUGUUGUAGGAGAAUCAUAAGUACCCUCUCUAGCACAUUGAGGGUACAUAUCAAGAAUUUCAAACCAGGUUCCUGUCCUUAAAUCAUAUACCUCUCCACAGGUAAGCACCUUUAAGCUAGCUCCAUAGCUCGCACUUGGGUUGCCUAUUCCGACACCACCGAUGACAUAAAACUUGCCAUCUAUGAAUACCCCUGAACAUAGUUUUCUGGGUUUAUGCAUUCUGGGGAGAGUGCACCAACUUUCUGUCAUCGAGUUAUAAAGUUCAGCAGAGCUCAGUAAAUUGCCUUUUGAGUCACAACCACCAGCCACAAUUGCAAUCUCUUCAAGACUAGCAGAGCCAAACAGCCAUCUUGGGAUGUUUGUCCUUACACCAGACGAUCAUGUAUUGGUUAAUAUGCUGUAUUUGUAGAUCACUUGAGACUCUAUUUCCUUUCCAAAGACAAGAAGUUCGGUGCCAACAGCCAGUGACUCCUUGUCAGAAAAAAGGAAACACUCGUUUGAAAUCAUUUUAGGCAAAGACAUCCAUCUACGGCGCAAAGGAUCAAAAGCUUCCCAUUCAAGAAGGCUGCAAGAAACAUAAACCCAAUGUUCUACAAUACUCAGCUGCCUCCUCAACUUAUAAAGAUCCCCUCUUCGGAUUAGUGACCUGAAACUCUAAUUGAGUGAAGCGAUAGUGCCAUAAUCUGCCCUCGAGCAGCGAAGUAAGCAAUUAAUUGAGAGAUCUUGGCCAAGUUGGAGGACGAGUGAACUUGUAUCAGUAUAAUACCCAUAGUGGCCUUGGUCAUCUUCUUGAUCCAUAGCUUGCCCUUGGAAUGCCAGUGGCUUGGAUGGUUUCAUCACUCCAGUCUCUUCCUCGAGGUGCUUUCACUUUGAGUUCCCUCCCUUGGGACACUUUUGCUUUGAGCCUUGCCCUCAGAAUGCUAGUCGCUUGGAUGAUUUCAUCACUCCAGUCUCUUCCUCGGGAUACUUUAGCUUUGAGUUCUCUCCCUCAGGCCCUUUCGCUUUGAGUUCUCGAUAGCAGAAUAAGUAUUAAAAACCCACUUGCUCUCUUCUUCACAGGUGCUUGGCAAGUCCCGACAGACAAGAAAUGAUAGCCCCUCCAAUAUGAUGGCAGAAAGACCGAGAAAUCUGAGAACUAAACUGGUCCAACAAAGUUAAGCCUGAAGACAUUAGUCCAAGCGAUAUUAGUUAAUGGUACAAUCUAUAAAAUAAAGAAGCAAAACAAUACCUAAAUAGCUCAACCAUAAAUAUAUGAUCUUUAUUGAAGAUUGGAAUAACUACAAUCUAUAUCUCUCUUUGCUAUGCUAAGAAGAGCAGAUUCCAUAACCAUAAGACAUAUAAAACAGGGAGUAACAAAGUGGAUGUAAUUGGUUAGGCAUUGCAUUUAAAAAGUGAACGAGACCCUCUGUGAGAAAACCAUGCAACGCAUCAUGAAAUACAUGAUUAGAGGAAAAAUUUUCACAAACAGUCAGUUAAAACCCAAAACUCAAUUUUGAAGACAUUGAUUGUUGGAGCAGUUCUACAUUUGCAAGGAAACAGAUGAGUGUAAACUCAACAACAAGGGCAUGAGCACACAUCUUGAUACAAGCACAAACAAGUGCUGACAAUAUUAGCAUGUCUAGCUCAAUGAUAACUAGCUCCAAGUGCCAAUCUAGAUCUCUUUGCCAUCAUCAAUAUCAUAUAUUUUUCCAAAUCAUCAAAACAGAAAAAAUUGGAAUUGAAUAGGUAGAAACAUGGUUAUUUAAAGUUGAGUAGAUAAAACAACAAACUCUAUAAUCAACUAUGGACGACAGUGAAUUCCAGCCGAAAAGUUCCAAAUAUGAAUAAGAAUAAAUUCCUUGAAUUGGAAAAUGUUUUUGUAUUUCCAAAAAAGAAAGGAAAGAAAGAUUUAAAUUCCAUGAAAUGAAUUCCAAAUGCUAAAAUCAACAGAAAGGAUCUUAUACAUUGAAAAGAGCCACUAAUGAAUAAGAAUAAAUUCCUGAAUUGGAAAAUAAUUUUGUACUUAUAGGGGAAAAAGAUUUUCAUUUAAAUUCCAGAACACUAAUCAAAAUUUGGAAAACAACAACAAGAAUCUUCUAUAUUACUAAUAUAGACCAAUCACCAUAAACUCACAAAAGUUAGAAAUCCAUCCCUUCAAACUCAAUCUAGAAAAGGAUUGAACUCCCAAUAUUUAAACAAAAUUUAAAUCAAAACAAGGACAAGGAUUCAAUAUUAAAUCCGAAACCAAAUUAAAACCUGCAUGCAUGUACAGUAAAAGCCAAUUCAAUUCAACUAGACCUUGCAAGAGAAAUUCACACUAAAAUCAUACCACCGAAUACCUAUCCUGGAAGCAAAUAUAACAACACCCAAUUAAGGGGAUAACAAGCAAAUACUCAUAAAUGAAAAAACAAUCACAAAUUUAAUAGUGAUAACUAGCAGUCAAGAGAACACCUUUGAAAAAACCUACCAAUCAAAAAAAUAAAAAAAUAGUGAUACAUGCAAUAGGAAAAUAAAAAAAAAUUAACAUUGACAUAAAUUUGAAAUAAAAGAUUGAUCAUUAUACAUGAAUUGUCCUCAAUGGUCAGAAUCUUUACAUGCAUUCCCUUCAAAAUAUAACCUAAAAUGAAAAAAGGAAAAGAACUCAUUAGGAAUUAUCUAAUAACAAGAAAAACCUAAAAACCCAAACCAGAAAACUUACAGAGUAAUCCGAGUAUAGUCUUUCAUUGUAACUACGAAAAAGAACAAAUUUCUGCUAAAAAACAGAGAAAGAAAAAUGAAUCAGUAGCUAAAUUAUUUCAUCAGGGCCACUUUGGAAACUUCUUUUAUUUGCAUUUGAGGCCCUCUCAAAUCUAAACUACAAAAAAAAAAAAAUAGUUCUCUCUUCGCUGUGAUGAGAACUGAGGAGUGAGAAGGAGGAAGAAGAGUUGGAUUUUUUAUUGGAUGAGUUGAAUAUUGGCUAGAAGUAGCAGUAUUUGUAGUAAUGAACUAACGGGAAGAGGGAGACGACAGUAACUUGGGAAAUGAGAUGGCGGUGAUAGCAAGGGGUUAAGAUUUAAUGGAAGAUAAUUUGAUGGCCAUCAUUUGCACGUGUAAGCAUUUUUUUUUUUUAAAAUGGUUGUCACCUUUUGGACCGUUCUUCCUUACCAAACUCCAAAAGAGUUCAAUUCUCCGUACGGCUCUUCAUUUCAUAGCAUUUCUUCUACACCCUAGCAACACACUAUAAUUUCCACUUUUCUCUUUAGUUUUUUCCUUUUGAGUGGAUUUGAUGUUCAUUAGAGUGAUCCUAAUAUGGUCUCUUUCCAAUCCGAUUACGUUGGUACCAAAAUAUACACGUUUCCUAAUUUAGGAAUCUAUUUUCCUAUAUGAGAAUAAUGAUUAAGGCUUUUGAAGAAUUAUAAUGUAUUUGGCAUGUAUGGUCUUAUGGUUUUAAUUAUUUACAAAAAUUUCCCUAUGUGCUAUAUUCGUUUAAAAUGGUUUAGGUUACACAAUAUGAACUCAAUUAUUUUAUAUAAUUAGGUUAUGGAAUACAAAGUGUUGAUUAGAUAUCUAUGCACGAGUUCUAUCAAAAAUAUAUGGCUAAAAUAGCUUAUAUAAUAUUUGUCAUUUGCAAAGAUUCUAAGUUAAGAAAUACGAAUUGAAUUACUUUACAAAUUAGGUCAUGGAAUACAAAGCAUCAAAAAAAAAUUCAUGCUCGAGCUCUAUUUGUAUAUAACUGUUAAAAAUGACAUGUAGAGCGAUUUGUCGUAUUUGUUUCUUGCACACAAAUAAUUGACCAAAAAUCAAUAAUUGAUGAUAGUUAUUCCAUCAUUAAAUAAAGUAAAACACCAAAAUCGAACUUUAUCUGACAAAUUACUUUUAUAAGAGAAUCUAAAAUUCUAUUGUAUAUUCUUCAUGUAAUAAUUAAUUGUUUCAUGAGCUAAUUGAAAAGAAAUAAUAAUAAUAAUAAUAAUAAUAAUCAUCAUCAUCAUCAUCAUGAAUAUCAAUUAUUAUGUGCUUAGAGCUCAUAAAACUAUUUGUGCAAAAAGAAUUUUACUAAUUUAUGUACCUCUAUGUUUGCAGCAUCUCUCUUGCAUGAUAAUAACAAACUAUUUUUCCAGAUUUCCAUUUAACUAAUCUAUUUAUUUAAAUUUCCUAAUUUAGUUUUCAAUUUCCUCUAGAUGAUAAUUACCUUUCAGGUUUGGUAGGGCAAUGAUGCAAUAACAAAGGCUCCCAUGGUUUUAAUUCUAUACAAUAGUUCUCAAUCUUGUAAUUCAUUUGCAAAAAUUAAAGUUGCAGAAUAUGAAUUGUAUUGCCUUUUAAAUUAGGGUUUUCUAGUACCUACUGCCAAAAACAAAACCAUGCCUGAAAUCUAUUUGAUUUAUAACAAUUACAAUAGCAUAUAUAAUAUUUGUCUUGGUUUAACUUUUAUUUGUUUGUGAGUGAAUGACUUGAAAAUAGUAAUUGACAAUCAAGAGUCCAACCAGAAAAUGUAAAACACCAAAAUCAAACAAAAUAUCUAAUGGUCUCUCUUUAUACGAGCAUCUAAUAAUUUUUUUUUCCAGAUCUCACAAUGAUUUUUUGGUUUAAUAGUUAAAGAAGAUAAUAACCGUAAUAUAUCUCAAAGAUCAUUUUCUUACAACUCGUAAAAACUACUUGUGUAAAGAGAAUCCUCUAACCUACAAGCCACUCCAUUUGGUUGAAUUUUACCAUGAUAUAUAGUUUUCAUCGUUUUUUUUUAUUCAAUCACCAAUUUGUAUUUCCUAAUUUAGUUUGCUAUUUUGCUUUUGAUGAUGAUUUUUAGAGAUUAGUAAAUUUGCAUGUAUGGCCAUAUUUCUUUUUUCUUGUUGUUUAAGUAUAUACAAAAGUUUCCCUAUUUCGGAAUUUACCUUCAGAGAUUCAAGUUAUACAUAAAAACAGAUUCAGCGUAAAGAUUAAGUAAUAGAAUUCAAAUUGUUAAAAAAAAAAAUCUUGCUUGACCUCAAUAGUGAUAAAUUUGUUGAAGAACAUUCUGUCAUGAAUUAUUUGUUUUUUAUUAAUUUUAUGCAUAUAUGGCAGAAAAUCAACAAUUCACUAUUAUGAUUAUAUCUUAAUAUAAUUUUUAAAGUAAAAAGCCAAAACUAUAUUGUAUCAAAUGGACCACUGUUAUAAGUGGAUAUAAUAUAUUUUUGUUGUAUUUUCAUAAUAAUUAUUUUCUUUACUAGUUAAUUAAAUUGAAAUAAUGUUCUUGAUAACACUGAUUACAAGCUUAGAACUCGUAAAAAUGGUUUGUGUAUAAAAAUUCGAGUAAUACUACUAUACGAACAUGGACAUCUAAAUAAUUUUGUUUAUUGAUAAAAUAUUUUUGGGGUGAAACAUCUAAUGAGGGAUUUCUAAGUAGAAUUGUUGAACUUUAAACAUACACAAAUAUCAUGUAAGGCAUAUUCUUCAUAGAUUCAAUUUUUCAUCUAUCUUUCUUUCUUUUCACUUGAAUAUUUAUGGAUAAAUUUUUCUUAAUGUUUGAAUUUCAUAGUAUUUACUUUCUAGUGGUUUUCAUUAGGUUAAAAAGUAACAUAACGUUUUUAAUUUUCCUUUAGAAAAACACACAAUUUCACGUGAGCAAAAAUCUCGUGCAGCUACUAUGAUACUACUACCAACAAAUCCACCACUGAAAUUCUCACAUACACAAAUCUGUGAUGAUCAUAGAUGCACAGAUGAACUUUCACAAAUUCAAUGAUAUUUAUCCAUGCUUAUCUAAGUAUUUGCUGUGAUAAAUGUUAUUUUAUUUUCUUUUGAGGUGGUUGGUGGGUGGAGAUUGCUUUUUUGUGGAAUUUUGGAUUAAUUAUUUCCUCUCACACACGCACUAUGACAUGUUCACAUGUAGAAUCAAAAUCGAUUUUAAAACACGUGUAGGACAUGCAUGAGAAAAAUGUGUUAUUUAAUUUAAAAAAUAAUAAGUAAAUCCAAGAAAAAAGUGAGAAUGCAAGGAUAGAUGUCAAGUAGGAAAGAAGAGCAAAUUUUGCUUUAAAUGAAAAUAGUGGCCAUGUGAGAAUAGACAUCGUGGCAAGAAGAACAAAAUUUGCUUCAAUUGCGUGAGGACAAAAGCAGUGGAGGAAAAGAUAGAUAACCGUUGAAGAUCAGUCAGAUGAGUUAGUCAUAAAUUAACUCUAUUGAAGCAGAUUCCAAGGAUAAUUUCUCACAUAAAUCCGAGUCUCUCAAUCUUUAGUAAGAUCUAGAUCAAAGUGUACCAUUCAUGUACAUUGACUGAUCUUACAAUUUUUUUUUUACAUGCAACUAUAUUACAUUUGCAAGGAAAUGUUCCCUAGGCGUAAUUUAGGCUAUGCAAAAUACUCUCAAGACUUUGAAAUCGAUCUACUCCAGCCGUUGCCAUCAUGCGCAUGGAUUGGCAAUGGGAAUAUGAUGGCUUCUGGCAGAACUGUGUUCUCGAAAAUUUCCCCAAGUACUGCUCGCACUGUUAUCGGCAGGGACAUGGGAAGGAUGAAUGUCAUGUUCUCCACCCUACGCUCCGCCCUCCUAAAAUUGAGAAUCAGCGUCACAACAAAGAACGAGCCACGGCAGCGGAGCCAGGUGAGAUACGGUGUGCGGAGGACGCUUUGGGCAGUGUGAGGCUGCCUGCCGCAUCCGUUGGGAGGGGUGACUUUGGAGGAAGCCCAUGGCCUGGGCGAGGCUGCUGCAGAUUUGGGUGUAGAGGAAGGGGUGGUGUUUGCGGGUGACCAGACUGGAGAUGCUCAGCAGCCUGCUGUGCUUGGUGCAGUGGACUACUUUCUGGUGGCACAACCAGACCAGCGGUGUGACGGAGGGCACGACCAGCAGGUGCCUCCUCCUCAGGUUGACACGGUGGAGGUGAAGACUAGUGGGGAUGAAACUGAAAGGCCAGUGACGCUCCAUGCUGGUUCUGAGGUUGACCAGGGGUUCAUAGUGGAUCUUCGAGACUUCCAGGGGAGAUUUGGUAGUAGUUCUCCUCAGGGCACAGUAGGUUGUGGGUCUUAGCAAAGAAGUGAGUCAUUGCAUUUCCCUCGCCUAAGGGAGCUACCUCCCUCGCCUAAGGGAGUAGGCCCUCCGGGUGAAGCACAGAACACACAACGAGGGAUGCGGGCUCGCUUUCCACUUGAUCGCAUUUUAUGCUCAAGUAAGUCCAGCUCUUCUAACUCCUUCACCGUGUUGUCCGAUGAUUAAAAUGCUAUUUUAGAACAUAAGGGGUGUCACUCGCAUCCCCCAUCUUAGAAGGCUAAAAAAAUUAGUAAAACUUCACUCGUUAUAGUUGGUUGCAAUUUGUGAACCAAAAGUGGGUUUAGGCCAUAUGAGUCAUGUGCAGUUGACGUUAGGAAUGGACUUUUGUGUCUCAAACCAAUGGGGGACCAUUUGGGUCUUCUAUAAAUCCCCUCUAUCUUGUACUGUGAUUGGGGAGUCAUGUCAACAUGUCUCGCUUCAGGUUCAAUGUCCGAUGUUCCCAUCACCCGUUUAUUUUUCUUUUGUUCAUGCCAAGUGCACCGUUCAUGAGCGGCAGAUGCUGUGGGCGGACUUGACGAAGGGUAUUCUACCUGAUACUCCUUGGCUUUUAACUGGAGACUUUAAUAUCAUUAUUAAUGAGGGGGAGAAGCGUGGGGGACUGCUAUUCCGCUUGACCGAGGGGGAGGAUUUUUUGCAUUUCAUGAUGGAAGCGAGGGUCUCAGACAUGGGUUUCUCCGGGUCCAACUACACUUGGUUCAACAACAGGUAAGGGCGAGCCUGAGUCUGGAAGCGUCUAGAUCAUUUGCUUCUCAAUUUGAAGGCCCUCCGUAUGGAUUCGGAUAUUUGGGUAUAGCACUUGGCAAGAGACCCAUCGAACCAUGCCCCACUUCUACUGACGACCUCGACUCGGUUGGACAAUAAGCCAAAGCCUUUCCCCUUUUUAAAUUUUUGGACAACCAAAACAGGGUUGUUGGACGUGAUUAGGGAUGGGUGGCAGGAGGAGAUAGUGGGAUCUCCUCUGAGUGUGCUAGCUGCUAAACUACGUACAAUCAAGCAAAUGCUGAAGGGGUGGUCCAAGGAAGCCUUUGGUGACAUCUUUGAGGCUGUUAAAGAAGCGGAAAGUGCGAUGGCGGAGAUAGAGAGGGUUCAGGAGAAGGACUUGUCCGACCAGGCGACGAGAGGCUUGAAUGAAGCCCGUGAGCGGUUGAGGAAUACAUUGGCUAUUGAGGAAGCCUUUUGGAGACAGAAGGCAAGGGCCAAGUGGUUGAAGGAUGGGGACUACAACUCAAAAUAUUUUCAUACUGUGGUGGCCGAGAGGAGAAGUAGGGCGGUCAUUCAUAGGAUCCGUGACUCGAAUGGUGCCUGGGUGGAAUCGAAGGACCUCAUUAGUAGGGAGGAAAUUUCCUUCUUCCAGAGGCUCUUUACGGUGGAGUCGCCCUCCUAUGCUUACGGGCUCCUGAACACUAUUCCAAAACUUGUGACGGAACAGGACAACUCCCGCCUAAUGGAACCCCCUUCUAUGGCAGAGGUGAAAGAGAUGGUCUUCUCAAUGGAUGGGAAAAGUGCAGCGGGCCCAGAUAGGUAUACAGGAAAGUUCUUCACCUUCGCUUGGGAGGUGAUUGCAGAGGAUGUCUACAGGGCUGUCUUGAGUUUCUUCUGUGGUACAGAGUUGCCCCGAAGUAUUACUGCCACAUCCAUUGUCUUGAUUCCUAAAGUUCCUUGUCCGCAGGACUUCACACAAUAUCGCCCGAUCAGCCUAUGCAAUUUCAUCAACAAGGUGAUUUCCCGCAUCCUAACGGAUCGUCUAGCUCCGCUACUACCUCGAGUCAUUUCUCCUAAGCAAAGCGAUUUUGUUAAAGGGCGUCAGAUCUCUGAUAACUUCCUCCUAGUACAAGAGAUUGUGACGGGCAUUAGGAAGUCUGCCUACGGCGGUAACGUGGUACUCAAACUAGACAUGAUGAAAGCCUACGAUAGGGUGUUUUGAUGUUUUCUGUUGCAGGUUUUGAGGCGAUUCGGUUUCUUGGAGGCCUGGAUUGAUUCAAUCUGGAAACUGAUCUCGAAUGUUUGGUUCUCUGUCUUGGUCAAUGGCACUCCGCAGGGUUUUUAUCGGUCGUCACGUGGUUUGCGGCAAGGGGAUCCAAUCUCUCCGGCCUUAUUUGUGAUUGGGACCGAAGCUCUGUCGAGGGCUCUGAAUGCCUUAGUUAGGCAACGCCAGUUUCAUCCGUUCAAGGUUUCGCCCGGAUGCCCGAUUGUCACCCAUUUAUCUUUUGCGGACGAUGUGGUCAUUUUCUCGAGUGGCUUGAAGCCCACUUUGCAACUGUUAAUACGGGUCCUGGAGGAGUAUUUUGCAGUCUCGGGACAGAAGAUCAAUGAGCAGAAGAGCUACUUUUUAGUGCACCCUCGACUCGGCCCCCGACGCAGCAAGAUUAUCAGGUAGAUUACAGGCUUUUAGAAGAGGGAGUUCCCGAUCAGGUACCUAGGUUGUCCCCUGUUCAUUGGCAGACAGAAGAAGGAGCACUUCGUGGAGAUGUGUAAGGGUGUUGUCAAUAGGAUUUUAUCUUGGAAGCAUCGUAUUUUAUCGCCUGGGGGACGGAUUGUGCUGCUAAAGCACGUUUUGUCCUCGAUGCCCAUUCACUUACUGGCGGUAACAGCGCCUCCCAAAGGGAUGUUGCGGGAGCUAGAACGGGUCCUGGCUAUCUUCCUGUAGAGCUCAACAGAGGUUGGCCCACACUUCCAUUGGAUGAAAUGGGCGACCCUAUGUCGACCCCACAGCGAAGGGGAUCUAGGUCUCCGGCGAGUGACGGAGGUUUUUCAGGCCUUUUCCAUGAAGCUGUGGUGAAAGUUAAGACAAGGUCGCUCGCUUUGGGCUUCUUUUAUGUAGGGGUGGCAAUUCCUAACACGACACAAAUCUAACACGAAAUUAAUGGAUUUAGGUUGAGGUUUCGAGAGUUCGGGUCAGAAUCGGGUCAAACCCGAUGAACCCGAAAAGAAAACAAGUCAAUUUCGGGUCAAUCCGUAAUGACCUGAUAUGACCCGAUAUGACCCGUUUAUAAAUUAAAACUAAUUUAAUAAACAUGAAAAUUAUUUUAUCUAACUAAACUAAAUCAUUCUUUUUUUCCAAAGGCAUUAAUUACUUAAUCCUAAAUGAAUUUAUUAAACUUGUGUGAAGUUAAAAUUAUUAUAUUUGGACAAAUAAUAUAUUAUGUUAUUUAUUACUUUUAUGCUGUUUUAAUUUAUUUUAUAUUUGGUUUGGGAUAAAACACUUUUAUGGUGUUUAAUUUAUUUUGGAUUUGGUUUGAAAUUAUUUAUUUAAAUUUUUAUUACUUGAUGAUGUAAUUAAUUUUGUGAAAAUUUGAUUUUAUUAGAAAUUACAGUGAUAAAUUAAUAAAUUAAAAUUAAAUUUCGGGUCGACCCGCCAACCCGAAAUUUUCGGGUUCAUGUCAGGUACCCUGACCCAUUUCGGAUUGGCGGGUUGGGUUCAGGUCAGCAGAUUCUUUGUUAUACUUAGGUCUCAACUCGACCCGCCAACCCGAACCCUUUCCGAUUGCCACCUCUACUUUUAUGGCAUCCAAGUAUUAUAAGGGCCAGCACCCUUGCCUUGUGGAGGAGAGACUUGGCAGUUCCUAUACAUGGAGACGAUUGUUGAGGUCCAAGGGGUCAUGAAGGAAAACACAGGCUGGAUUGUGCAGGAGGGGUUGAUGGAUUUCUGGCACGAUAACUGGGCAGGGUCUGGUCUGCUAUGCCACCAGGUGGAGAUUUUUCAGGAUCAGCAGGUGGUGGAUUUUGCUUCUGGAGGGGAAUGGGACAUCCGAGCUCUUUCGCAGGUACUGUCACCGGAAUUGGUGCAACUUGUGUUGGCUUGCAAGCCUCCGUCAAGCCAGGAGGAGGACAGGAUGGUAUGGAUGUAGACGUCCAAUGGGGAGUUCUCGGUGGCCUUGGCUUUGGCGCUUAUCCGAACCCGCUCUUAAGGAUCUCUUGGCUUUGCUAGUAUCUGGCACAGAUCACUGCCAGUCACAAUUUCAUUUUUCAUGCUCCGCUUGCUAUGGAGUAGACUGCCUCUCCUGGAGUAGCUGCGUCACUUCGGUGUCCAUGGUUCUUCUCGGUGUUGUUGUUGCUCUGAUCCCGAGGAGGAGAGUUUGGACCACCUCUUUUGCACUGGUGAAACUGUCUGACAGGUGUGGGGGGCAUUUGCGGUUCAGGAGGGGAUGACGUCGCAUUGCUACACGGCCUGGCAUAUGGCAAUCUCGUGGUGGUUACGCCCAAUGCCGCAGAGGUACUUGGCUUUUGUGUAUCAGAUCAUUCCUUCUAUCAUCUAUUGCGAACUUUGGCGGGCGAGAACUAGGGCGGUGGUGCACGGGGGGAGGAUAGUAAGGGGUGGUGGUGGCCUAAACCUUAUAUCGUCUUAGGGAAUUAUUGCAGAUCCAAUUCCCAUCGCAAGCAUGGCCACACGGAUCUUGGGAGAGCUUGUAUUCGACCUUGCAAGCUCGGCAGAGGAUGUUGACUGUUCGGCCUGUCAGAUGGGCGUCCCCGGGAGCGGGCUAUAAGUUGAAUACUGACGGCUAUUCGCUUGGGAAUCCAGGGCGGAGUGGAGGAAGAGGCGUGGUGCCGGAUUCUCAAGGGGGUUUUCUGCUUGGAUUCUCAUGUUUCUUUGGCGCCACUAAGAGCCUCCAUGCCGAAUUGAAGGCUUUGGUUUAUGGGGUUAAUCAAUGCAUUGCUCGGGGAUAUUUGGAGUUGCAUCUAGAGGUGGACUCACUAUCCCUGGUUCGCAUUAUAUUUGGGGACCAUGGGUGCCCCUGGCAUUUGCAGGUGGAAUUGGACGAUCUCAUGCAACAUCGGGGUCUGUUUCGCUCCGUUAAACAUUGUUAUAAAGAGGCGAACAAACCGUCGGACAGGCUGACUAAGAUGGGUGCAGCGCUAGGCACCGCCUCUGCAUUUGAUUCCUUUGCAGCGCUUCCCCUGCUGGUCCGCGGGGAUAUCUGACUGGAUAGAUUAGGGUUCCCUAACUUCCGUAAGAGGGCUCAAUAGCCGUGCCUCUAUGUUGCUUCUUACUAUGUGUGACUUUCUUAUGAUUCAAUAAAGAUAAGUUUUUCAAAAAAAAAAAAUUUUUGGGAUAGCGCCGUUGACACCAUAAUUUUAGUAGUUAUCGACACAUACUAAUGUUUAAAUUGUUAUUUGCAUCGUCUAAUAUCUAUAUCUAUAUUAUAUAUAAAAGGAAAGGAAAGGGUUCGUGUUAACAUUUUGUGUUACUUUAUGUUAUACCAAAAGCACCCUUUAAAGUUAGUUUUCAAACUAUUCACAUUUCCUCUUUUUUUCCACCAUACUUUCAAUACAAUAACUUCUUCCAAUGUUAAACUAUUCAAAUUCUCUCUUUUUCUCCACCAUAAUCUCAAAUACAAUAAAUUGCUCUAAAAAAUUGUAAUUACAGAUUUUACAAAUAAACAAAUACACCUGUACCAUGAAAUGUAAUAACUUAAUAUGAAGGAAAGAAUAAUCAUAUAUUUUUAAAAAAUAAACACAUACUUAAGGUGUGCCAAAAGCACUAGUUUUUAAAAAGUAUGUGAUUGCUGACAAAAUAAGAAGUGAAUAAUUUAAAUAUUCAAGCAUACAAGAAAUACACGGUUAGGAGAAUUGAUAUUUGAGAAUCAUCUAUAACAAUAAAAGAUUUUUUAUUUUCCUACACAAAUUAAAAGAAAACGUUUACACGCACACAAUAAUUUGUGUAUAGUAACCUAAAUAUCAUGAUUAACUAAAGUGGACUUUGUAAUUUUUAUCACAAUAAGCAAUUAGAAAUUAUAACAUCUUACAAUAAUAUAUAUAAACUCAAUAGAACAGUUUAUAUAUAUAUAUAUAUAUAUAUAUAUAUAUAAUUAACACAUGGUAUUAGCCCCAAUCAUUGAGAUGUUCAUCUGGCCUCUGAUUGCACAUAUAUACCAGCUGAUUAAACCACAAAAUGUGAACUUGGCAAUUGCCAAUCAGUGGAACUGUGAAACUUGUUGGUCCUUUAAUCAGAAAGAGAAAGCAUAUGUUUAUCACCAGUUUUACCAUAUUUGAAGGAUGACAAUGUACAAGCAAGAAAAUACAUCGAACAAAAGUAACCAGGCAAUUACAACUUUUCUACAUCAAAUUAAGAUAUUAAAGGAAAUCAGAAUUGUCUGUUUACAUAGCAUAUUCCAUUCUAUUUAUUGAAGUUUUACAAUAUUUCACGGCUAAAAGAUGCACCUGGUGCUCUACAUUAUUUGUCUAUGCCGCUUGAAUUUCUUUCAAGCUCUUGACUAGCCAAAAAUUUUUUCUGAAUAUCAAAUUAACAAAAUAGAUGAAAGUAAACAUGUAAACUAUGAGUUGUUGCCAAAUCAGGACACCUCAGCAACCCAUCACAGCGCAAUUAUAAACAAAACUACCUGAAUGCUUUGUUCCCAGCAAUGUCCACUCUAGGGGACCUUCAUCUGGCUCCCAAGCAUUGAUCUCUAUGUACCCUCCAUUCAAUGCCCUUGGUCCACCGAUAACCAUCAAUUGAUUACCACAGGCCCUGAAUGCCAACCCCCCAGCCAUUCAUGGAGGUUGCUUGUUCAGGCAAUCUACCUAUGGUAAUCCACACAUUUCUCUGCUUGUCAUACUUCCAGACUUCCUUUUCAUCGCAAUAAGCUGCAUAUAACUCAUUCUUCACCACUGCGAGUAGAGGAGGUGCUCUUGCUGUUGCAGGAGAAUCAUUAGUACCCACUCUAGCACAUUGAGGGUACAUAUCAGGAAUUUCAAACCAGGUUCCUGUCCUCAAAUCAUAUACCUCUCCACAGGUAAGCACCUUUAAGCUGGCUCCAACGCUUGCACUUGGGUUGCCUAUUCCGACACCACCGAUGACAUAAAACUUGCCAUCUAUGAAUACCCCAGAACAUAGUUUUCUAGGUUUAUGCAUUCUGGGAAGAGUCAACCAACUUUCUGUCAUUGAGUUAUAAAGUUCAGCAGAGCUUAGUAAAUUGCCUUUUGAGUCGCAACCACCAGCCACGAUCGCAAUCUCUCCAAGACUAGCAGAGCCAAAUAACCAUCUUGGGAUGUUUGUCCUUACGCCAGACGACCAUGUAUUGGUUAAUAUGGUAUAUUUGUAGAUCACUUGAGACUCUAUUUCCUUUCCAAAGACAAGAAGUUCAGUGCCAACAGCCAGUGACUCCUUGUCAGAAAAAAGGAAACACUCGUUUGAAAUCAUUUUAGGCAAAGACAUCCAUCUAUGGCGCAAAGGAUCAAAAGCUUCCCAUUCAAGAAGGCUAUAAGAAACAUAGACCCAAUGUUCUACAAUACCCAGCUGCCUCCUCAACUUAUAAAGAUCCCCACUUUGGAUUAGAGACCUGAAACUCUGAUUGAGUGAAGCGAUAGUGCCAUAAUCUGCCCUCGAGCAGCGAAGUAAGCAAUUAAUUGAGAGAUCUUGGCCAAGUUUGAGGAUGAGUGAACUUGUAUCAGUAUAAUACCCAUAGUGGCCUUGGUCAUCUUCUUGAUCCAUAGCUUGCCCUUGGAAUGCCAGUGGCUUGGAUGGUUUCAUCACUCCAGUCUCUUCCUCGAGGUGCUUUCGCUUUGAGUUCCCUCCCUUGGGGCACUUUUGCUUUGAGCCUUGCCCUUGGAAUGCCAGUCGCUUGGAUGAUUUCAUCACUUAAGUCUCUUCCUCAGGAUGCUUUAGCUUUGAG
rnacentral:lncRNA from 1 species